rnacentral:rRNA from 1 species
CGUGGGUGAUCUGCCUUGCACUCUGGGAUAAGCUUGGGAAACUGGGUCUAAUACCGGAUAUGAACUGCCUUUAGUGUGGUGGUUGGAAAGUUUUUUCGGUGCAAGAUGAGCUCGCGGCCUAUCAGCUUGUUGGUGGGGUAAUGGCCUACCAAGGCGUCGACGGGUAGCCGGCCUGAGAGGGUGUACGGCCACAUUGGGACUGAGAUACGGCCCAGACUCCUACGGGAGGCAGCAGUGGGGAAUAUUGCACAAUGGGCGGAAGCCUGAUGCAGCGACGCCGCGUGGGGGAUGACGGCCUUCGGGUUGUAAACUCCUUUCGACAGGGACGAAGCUUUUUGUGACGGUACCUGUAUAAGAAGCACCGGCUAACUACGUGCCAGCAGCCGCGGUAAUACGUAGGGUGCGAGCGUUGUCCGGAAUUACUGGGCGUAAAGAGCUCGUAGGUGGUUUGUCGCGUCGUCUGUGAAAUUCCGGGGCUUAACUCCGGGCGUGCAGGCGAUACGGGCAUAACUUGAGUGCUGUAGGGGAGACUGGAAUUCCUGGUGUAGCGGUGAAAUGCGCAGAUAUCAGGAGGAACACCGAUGGCGAAGGCAGGUCUCUGGGCAGUUACUGACGCUGAGGAGCGAAAGCAUGGGUAGCAAACAGGAUUAGAUACCCUGGUAGUCCAUGCCGUAAACGGUGGGCGCUAGGUGUAGGGGGCUUCCACGU